rnacentral:rRNA from 1 species
GACGAACCGAGCGAACGUUGUUCGGAAUCACUGGGCUUAAAGGGCGCGUAGGCGGGUGCUCAAGUCCGUGGUGAAAUCCUCCGGCUCAACCGGAGAACUGCCUCGGAUACUGGGCGUCUCGAGUGUGGUAGGGGUAUGCGGAACUAUCGGUGGAGCGGUGAAAUGCGUAGAUAUCGGGAGGAACAUCUGUGGCGAAGGCGACACCCUGGACCAGCACUGACACUGAGGCACGAAAGCGUGGGGAGCAAACAGG